rnacentral:rRNA from 1 species
GAUGAACGCUGGCGGCGUGCCUAAUACAUGCAAGUCGAGCGAACGGACGAGAAGCUUGCUUCUCUGAUGUUAGCGGCGGACGGGUGAGUAACACGUGGAUAACCUACCUAUAAGACUGGGAUAACUUCGGGAAACCGUAGCUAAUACCGGAUAAUAUUUUGAACCGCAUGGUUCAAAAGUGAAAGACGGUCUUGCUGUCACUUAUAGAUGGAUCCGCGCUGCAUUAGCUAGUUGGUAAGGUAACGGCUUACCAAGGCAACGAUGCAUAGCCGACCUGAGAGGGUGAUCGGCCACACUGGAACUGAGACACGGUCCAGACUCCUACGGGAGGCAGCAGUAGGGAAUCUUCCGCAAUGGGCGCAAGCCUGACGGAGCAACGCCGCGUGAGUGAUGAAGGUCUUCGGAUCGUAAAACUCUGUUAUUAGGGAAGAGCAUAUGUGGAAGUAACUGUGCACAUCUUGACGGUACCUAAUCAGAAAGCCACGGCUAACUACGUG